rnacentral:rRNA from 1 species
UACAGAGGUCUCAAGCGUUGUUCGGAUUCAUUGGGCGUAAAGAGCGUGUAGGCGGCCAAGCAGGUCCGCUGUGAAAACUCGAGGCUCAACCUCGAGACGUCGGUGGAAACCGUUUGGCUAGAGUCCGGAAGAGGAGAGUGGAAUUCCCGGUGUAGCGGUGAAAUGCGUAGAUAUCUGGAGGAACACCGGUGGCGAAGGCGGCAUCCUGGACCAAAACUGACGCUGAAUAGCGAAAGCCAGGGGAGCAAACGGG